UUUAGAAGAAAAAUCAACUCUCAGAAAUGUUGGAUCUACAGUGCUGGAACUGCCUCCCACUUCUGCGUGAAAGCUGAUUGUGUGUGUCACCUCCCAGCUCCUCAGUGACAUCAUUUAUGCUGGAAGUGGAAUGAAAAAACUGUUUCCAGGAAAAGGAAGUGAUCAUCGAUGUCGUGUGCUGCUGAUAUGUCAACUAAAAUGAGAACUGAGACUUGACUAUUGGGCUUAAUAGCCUGAAGAAAAGAGAAAAGAGAAAAAGACAAUUGCUUUAGGAGGCUAACAAAGGCUUCAUGGAUCAGUUGCCUUGGGGGAAGGCAAGAUUGUAAGAACAAGGUGAUAUAAGUAGACAGAUAUAUGUGAGCAGUCACAUAGAUGUGAUUGACAUCUACCAUCAGCUGACAUGAAGUAAAGGAGAUUACUCUUGAUGAUAUGCAAAUGCCUCAUCCAAUCAGUCAAAGGCUUUAAAAGGAAAAACUGAGACUUUCCAGAGGAGACUUUUACCUCCAAGCUGCAGCACGGAAACAAAUCCUUUGUGGUUUCCACACUGUUGGCCUGCCUUGUGGACUUCAGGCUUGCUGGCUCCAUGACUAUGUAAGCCAAUUCUAUAAAAUCUCUUCAUUUUUCUAUCUCCUCUUAGUUCUAUUUUCUUGGAGAACCCUUAUCAAUAUAGUGUGUAAAUGCCAUUUUUAGAAAUACACAGUUUUGCUUAUCAUGGUGAGUAUCUGGUUUCUGGAAGAAGGUGAUAGGCAAUGCAUAAAAAACUGAGGAUUAUUUAAUAGACACAAGUAAAUUCAGCUAUGGUUGACAGUAGAUGGAAAUUCAAAAGCAUGUCUUUAACGAUGAGAAGCACUUAGGAAGUAAGUGUAAGUUUUGGCAAUAUCUUCUCAAAAGACCUCUGCUUCCCAUAAAGUGGAACAAAUACAGGCAUAAUUAUGCAUAUAAAGUCUAAAAUUAAAAUUCUUGUAUUAGAAUGAUGGUGUAUUUGGGUCAGAUAUGCUUAAUAUAAAAAAAUAAUGAAAGGUGUUCAGAGUUGGCUGGAAAAUCUAUCCACAGGAGCCCUGAAAACACUACUUCAGCCCAUCAUGUAAUACUUAUUGAAUACUUAGUGGCAAAAAAACACCCGGUGCUGCUUGGUCAGGCAUAAAAAUGCUUGACCAAAAUUGACUUGUUUGUAGUGAUUAAUGAACAUUUUGUGAAUGUAAUUUCUCAAAUAAGAACAGAGUAGAAUUUUCCAAGAUUAAAUUUACAGAGAGAUAAUUCUGGGUGACAUCCAAAGAAAAAGGGGUCUGUGGUUAAAUUUAGGGAAUACUGAAUUGUACACAGUAAACUGUGCCUCUUCAAGGGCGCUAACCUAGAUUGUUUCCAGAAGUAGUUUAGUUAAGGAACACAUUCUUCAAGUAUGCCCACUAAUCUUGCAUGGCAUACUGGACCUUGAAAACGAAGUCUCUUCUUUAUUGUUGCAUUGGGCCAUUCAUUUGCCUUUUUGGAGUUUCAUUCUCUCAUUUUUAUCAGUGAUGUUUACAUAUCAGAAUUGGUUUUGAAACUUCAGCAAGGUACUUUCAGAAAUGAUAAAGAACUUUAAGAAAUCUAAAAUACUGCCUAAGUAUGUAGCACAUAGUUGGUUGCCUCUUUUUUUUUCUUCAUUGUAUCUAAAGAACUCAUUUGAGGUUAAUUUCCUAACAUUAGGGAAUAUUUGUGUAAGGUAGGACUCAACCUUCUACCGACACUGCAAAGGGACAGGCAUUUUACUUCCCAGAUACUGGCAGCUAAAGUCUUGAGCAUUUGACCUUGACUUAGUUAAUGAAAUUCUCCCUGCUGGGACUUAGAAUCUUGAGGAGUGACCAGGGAUGAUUUUGGUUAAUGUGACUCCAGUUACAUUUGCUAUAAAAUCUAUAUCUCUACCAUAGAACUCUAUAUCUACCAUGAGAUAAAUGUAAAGUCCUUCAGGUAAUUAAUUAUAAAUAUAGACGUUUUCCUUGGCUUGUAUUGGUUUGAGAGGUAUUUAUUUGAAAGGUAUGAUCUUUUUUUUCAAAACUAAAUAUGUUGAGUUAGAACACCUUCACUUUCCCUGAGCAAAGAAAGCACAUAGAAAUAUUCUCUACAGUGUACACAUGAUAAAUUGGAUUAAGCUGAAAUCAGGUUUUUAGAAUUUUGACCCAAUAAAUUGCUCUGAGGAGUCAUCUUUAACAAAAACUUGUUCAGGCCACAGAGAUUUUCUUUUUGUAAGGUAGAUGUUACUUAAUCCCAUACAACCUGCACCUGGGAGCAAGGUUUUCUCCAGAAGGUGGUGGUGAUGGUGAUGGUUCUUAAGGAAGUGAGUAAUCCCAGGCUAUUUAUGAUAGAAGCCUGGCUAACUUUUCCUUAAUGGUACCUAUUAGGCCUGAGGAGCAAUUAAGAAAUGGAACUUUGUGUACUGGGAAUUUGAAAGUGGAUACUUAACGUUGUGAAUCUUCUAGAAAUAGAUAGAAAACCGGUGCUUGUAAGGUGGGGGCUGCCUAUCUCAGCAUUUUUGUGAAAAUCACAGGGACAGUGCCGAAGAUCAAUGUGGUGACAUCCUUGGUGACAUUUAUGAUCUGCAUUGUUUUUAUUUUAUAGCAAAUUAUCAUACUUCUCAUUGUAUAAAGAUACUGUAGUUAAUAAAAAGCAGGAAGUAUUCUACUGGUCUCCCCAGGAGCUCUGGUUUUGCUUAGGUAAGGCCAUCAGAUGUUGUUCCCAGGGUGGUUCCAGCACUAGAUCUA